rnacentral:lncRNA from 1 species
AAGUUCGUCCAGCGGAAAAAGGCCACAAAAACGUGUGGGCUAUAGCCUUGGGGGGUGGGGCUGGCCAACCUUGUCCGCCGGACACGGAAUGCGACGAGACCUUGUGAGGGGCCUCCGUGUGCCAAAAAUAGACCGCGGGCAAAGCCGCGCAAAAAAUAACAGCCCGAAGGCCGGGGCGCCAAGUUCGUCCAGCGGAAAAAGGCCACAAAAACGGGUGGGCUAUAGCCUUGGGGGGUGGGGCUGGCCCACUUCGUCCGCCAGACUCGGAAUGCCGCAAGACUUUGCGAGGGGCCUCCGUGUGCCAAAAAUAGGCCGCGGCCAAAGUCGCGCCCAAAAAUAACCGCCCGAAGGCCGGGGCGCCAGGUUCGUCCAGCGGAAAAAGGCCACAAAAACGGGUGGGCUAUAGCCUUGGGGGGUGGG